CUUCAACCGAAAAUCAAGAGUAGCGAACGGGUGAGUAACGCGUGGGUAACCUACCUAUCAGCGGGGGAUAACUAUUGGAAACGAUAGCUAAUACCGCAUAACAAUGUUGGAUGCAUAUUCGACAUUUGAAAGUACCAAAUGGUACACUGAGAGAUGGACCCGCGUUGUAUUAGCUAGUUGGUAGUGUAAUGGACUACCAAGGCGAUGAUACAUAGCCGACCUGAGAGGGUGAUCGGCCACAUUGGGACUGAGACACGGCCCAAACUCC
rnacentral:rRNA from 1 species